rnacentral:rRNA from 1 species
AAAAGGUGGCUAUGCUACCGCUUUUGGAUGGGCCCGCGGCGCAUUAGCUAGUUGGUGGGGUAAAGGCUUACCAAGGCAAUGAUGCGUAGCCGAACUGAGAGGUUGAUCGGCCACAUUGGGACUGAGACACGGCCCAAACUCCUACGGGAGGCAGCAGUAGGGAAUCUUCCACAAUGGGCGAAAGCCUGAUGGAGCAACGCCGCGUGGGUGAAGAGGGUCUUCGGAUCGUAAAACCCUGUUGUUAGAGAAGAAAGUGCGUGAGAGUAACUGUUCACGUUUCGACGGUAUCUAACCAGAAAGCCACGGCUAACUACGUGCCAGCAGCCGCGGUAAUACGUAGGUGGCAAGCGUUAUCCGGAUUUAUUGGGCGUAAAGGGAACGCAGGCGGUCUUUUAAGUCUGAUGUGAAAGCCUUCGGCUUAACCGGAGUAGUGCAUUGGAAACUGGGAGACUUGAGUGCAGAAGAGGAGAGUGGAACUCCAUGUGUAGCGGUGAAAUGCGUAGAUAUAUGGAAGAACACCAGUGGCGAAAGCGGCUCUCUGGUCUGUAACUGACGCUGAGGUUCGAAAGCGUGGGUAGCAAACAGGAUUAGAUACCCUGGUAGUCCACGCCGUAAACGAUGAAUGCUAAGUGUUGGAGGGUUUCCGCCCUUCA